CCUACGGGUGGCAGCAGUGGGGAAUAUUGGGCAAUGGGCGCAAGCCUGACCCAGCAACGCCGCGUGAAGGAAGAAGGCUUUCGGGUUGUAAACUUCUUUUGUCAGGGAAGAGUAGAAGACGGUACCGGACGAAUAAGCCACGGCUAACGACGUGCCAGCAGCGGCGGUAAUACGUAGGUGGCAAGCGUUGUACGGAUUUACUGGUGGUAAAGGGCGUGUAGGCGGGUGGAAAAGUCAGAUGUGAAAUCCUGCGGCUUAACCGCAGAACUGCAUUUGAAACUGUUGAUCUUGAGUACUGGAGAGGCAGACGGAAUUCCUAGUGUAGCGGUGAAAUGCGUAGAUAUUAGGAGGAACACCAGUGGCGAAGGCGGUCUGCUGGACAGCAACUGACGGUGAGGCGCGAAAGCGUGGGGAGCAAACAGGAUUAGAUACCCGUGUAGUC
rnacentral:rRNA from 1 species